GCAAGUAAACUUACCUCACGGCAACUAGGUGGGUAGCUUGAAAACCAUGCGCUUCAAACAGCCCACGAAUGGCAAAGCAAGCUCCACUUCACACGAGCUCAAGCCUCAACACACGGCAAGCUAUCCCAAGCAUGUAAACCACACGCUACUUGCAAGCAACCAACAUCCACUAUGCGCAUAACAAUCAACAAAGACAACCAUACACAAUAACAAGCCAAAGAAAGGUAGGAAGCAAGAUUUUAGGAAGUAGAAAGC
rnacentral:misc_RNA from 1 species